UGGGAGUCCUGCCAAGAUGCUUUCUCUUCAGGAUGACAUGGGCACUGCUGCCACUGUACCUGAGCUGCAUGGACGGCAGGAGUCUGCUUCCAAAGCGGCUUGCUGACCCCGAAGGUUUUCAGUGUCAUUUGCAAGUUCUCUGAGCUCUUGGAGGUAUUCAAAUGCUUGCACACAGUCACCAGGCAGAAUAAGAAAAGAUGAAGUGUGAGGGGCAGAAGCAGGUGACUGCCAUUCAGAAAGAAAGCUACACCGGAUGCAUCAAAUGGGCCUCGCUCUCAGACUGCAAAGGAAGGAGGAGAACAAUUUCCUUCAUCUCUGUGUUAUUUCUGCAAGAACCGCUCAAGUGUGGAAUUCAGGACAGGGGUUUACUGAGUUAACCCAGUUUUCGGAGAUUUUUCUCAAGAGGAAGGUGUACAUCAUGUGAAGGUUGAAUCUUGCUGGGAUUUUCUGCUUCUCCAGCCAGCAUGGAGGGUUGUGCUCUCAUCCCCACGUGAGCUCCAGGCACCAGCACAACCUUCGCAGUAGCGUGACGUCUCCGAAGACCCCAGCUCCAAGCUGCGUGGUGACAACCUGGGAGCAGUUGUCGAUGACGAGGGAAGUGGCCAGUUCCAGACAAAGAAAUCGAGCAAUCGAAACGAACACUCAAGUGUUUUAACUCAGUGAUCUUUCCCCUGCCGACAGGGAGCACAAAAGAAAAGGCAGCCAAGUUCAACGCCAGCAGCCUUUGUUGCCGUUUUCUUGCUGAAACCUUGGCUUUCUUGGCGGUGGUUCACCUGCGAGUCAGUUCCCCGGCACAUUUAUGGUUAUUGUAUUUUACAGGUUGAUAGAUUUUUAUAUUCUGUCCAAGCCAGGAUCUUACACCACCUGGUUUAUUAUUUAGUAAUUUACAGUGCAGUCAGGCAUGUUUGCCUUAAUGUAGGAUAAACUUAUAAAUCUAUUGUUCGUUCAGUUGCCGCCGCUGGUGUGCAGUGAACUACAGAGCUGACUGCGUACAUACAUUUCAGCUCUGCUUUUCUCUUUGAUACGGAAGCAGGCAAUAGAUAACACAGUGACAGUAGCAUCCCAGGGGACAGCCGAAUGUGAGAGCAGCACCACGUCAGGUUAGUAGGUCAUUAUUGUACGAGCCGUGAACCAUUAAUGGACUGCUACGCCCAGCUCAAUCUGUGUCAGAUUAUGGCUUGGCAGGAGAAUUGUAAUCUAAUAGCUAACUUUGCUUCCUCACGGUCAUCCUAUUAGUUCCUCUGAUAGAAAUGUGCACAGGUAUGUAUUAAUAGGGGACUUCAUUGGGGAAAGGCAAGAUCUGGGAUCCCCUGUCACCCCCAUCUCUGGAAAUGAUGCUUCUAUGCUGAUUGAGCUGGGUAGUUCUGAUGGAAUAGAGUUCUUUCUCAGGCUUGUUUUGACCUCUUAUAAAACAGAUAGCAAACAUGUAGUGUUAAUUACUGCAGAGUCUCCAGUAUUAAUAUAUCGUGUUGAUCAUGUAAAAUGAAAUAGUGGCAGGGAAGGAGAAGGUAGGGAGGCUUUACCUUCUAGUGCCACCCUAAGUCUGCAGAUGAGAACACUGACAUACUUUUAAAUUCUGGCAAUUAAGACCACCUUUCUCCAAGUAAUACCAGAAAAAAAGCACUGACUGUGUGAUAUUAUGUAAUUUUUAUUAUUUGUAAAACAGAGAAGAAAAACAUUGUUGUGGUGUGAUUUCAGAUAAAAGAUGCAUUUUUAGGAAGUGUAGGAAGUACCUGGCUUUUGAGUUACAGUGGUAAGAAGUUUAUAGUGUAUAUUUGGGGCAUCUAUUUAAGAAGUAGGAUCAGGGCAGUUUGUUUUUCUUUCUAAGCCCAUUUGCCUCUGCUUCAGGGUGCAUCCCCACACAGAAUUAAUGAAAUGAAUAGUUUCAAGAUUUUUUCCAGCAUGGACGAGCGUUUGGUGAGUUUAGACUGAGAUUACCACCUUAAAUGUCUACCUGUGAUUUUGCAAAUCAUUUGUGGAGAUUCUCUGUGAUGUCAAGAACAUGAAAGGCUAUCCAUGAAAAUGCUAGAGAAAUUCUUUUAGCCAGGUGGGUAGGUAGCAGAUUAGCAGGGUGAUGGUGCAGAGGGAAGAUAGGAGUGGGGGAGACGCAGCCAUGUGUGGACUCAGACCGUGAUCAGUGCUGCCACUGGCCCUUCAUGACACAUGGCUGGCCUGGGCCGACGAGCAGCCCAGGUGGCCACAGCUGGUUUGUUGCCCCCUCUGGCUUGUACACUUGACACUUCCCAGCAGCAGUGGCUGAAGGAGACCAUGUUUUCAGCUUGCUGAGAAUCCUGAGGGCAUGGAGUGUGCUUGGCAAGGUGGUCAAGGUAGGUCUUUGGUCAAGGUAGGUCUUAACAGUACUGCUUGGUAAAAUGGCCUGGUUUGAAAAACACCUACAUAAUAAUUAAUACCCAAAUCCGUUUGAAUCCAAAGCCAGUUAUUCGUCUUGAGUGCAUUGUGCAUGAUAUGUGUUCAUAUUUUAUGCAAAGGAUAGGUUCACCCUCCCCUUCCCACAAACAGACACUAGCCAGGGAAGCUGGAUUCACCUGCAUUUCUGUACUGGCCUAUGACCUGGCUCUGGGGUCUCCCUCCACUUCCUUCUGACUCAACCAUGGAUUUGAGUUUAAUAAAAUGUGGAGCAUUGUGAAAAAUUACA
rnacentral:lncRNA from 1 species